UGCGGGGGCCGAGCCGCCGGGGCACAGCAGCCAAGCCGCGCCCCGAGGAGCUCUUGGAAGGGCUCCCGCCUGCAGCUGGGGAAUCCGCUCGGCGGGGAGAAUCCGUGCCAGGGAAUCCAGCUCUCCGGACUCAGCUGCAAACAAAAAGCUCAGGUCUGACUCCCUCCCUCCCUCCGCCCCCCGACGCACACCCGGAGAAACAGUUUUGUGCAGAAAUGCAACAAGUAGCACCCGGAGCUCCCGGAGCGCCCCGCGCCGCCUGACUUGGCUGGGGGAACCCGCCUGCAGAGACCCGGGCCAGCCACCGGACAAAGGGCGAAGGAGGGGCUGGACCGCGCUGCGGAGUCCGAAAGAGGCCAUUUAGCGACUCUGGCCAGGCCAAGGGGAAUGCAGAGGAGACAUAGAGCAGGCGGGCCAAGAGGACGAUCCGGCCGCAGCACGCAGGACGGGCAGCGAUGGAGGCUGCCCGCGCCGUGCGCUUCCUACUCGUGGUGUACGGCUGCCUCGCGCUCCCGCCGCGGGCCCAGCCCGUGUGCCCAGAGCGGUGCGACUGCCAGCACCCCCAGCACCUCCUGUGCACCAAUAGGGGGCUCCGCGCAGUGCCCAAGACCAGCUCGCUGCCGAGCCCCCAGGACGUGCUCACCUACAGCCUCGGCGGCAACUUCAUAACCAACAUCACGGCCUUCGACUUCCACCGCCUGGGGCAGCUCAGACGGCUGGACCUGCAGUACAACCAGAUCCGCGCUCUGCACCCCAAGACCUUCGAGAAGCUCUCGCGGCUGGAGGAGCUCUACCUGGGGAACAACCUCCUGCAGGCGCUCGUCCCGGGCACUCUGGCCCCGCUGCGCAAGCUGCGCAUCCUCUACGCCAACGGGAACGAGAUCGGCCGCCUAAGCCGCGGCUCCUUCGAGGGCCUGGAGAGUCUGGUCAAGCUGAGGCUGGACGGGAACGCCCUGGGGGCGCUGCCGGACGCGGUCUUCGCCCCCUUGGGCAACUUGCUUUACCUACAUCUGGAGUCCAACCGGAUCCGCUUUCUGGGCAAGAACGCCUUUGCCCAGUUGGGCAAACUGCGCUUCCUCAACCUCUCUGCCAACGAGCUGCAGCCCUCCCUGCGCCAUGCAGCCACCUUCGCACCGCUGCGCUCCCUCUCCACCCUCAUCCUCUCGGCCAACAGCCUCCAGCACCUCGGGCCGCGCGUCUUCCAGCACCUGCCUCGUCUCGGCCUACUCUCCCUCAGGGGCAACCAGCUCUCACACCUCGCGCCGGAGGCCUUUUGGGGGUUGGAGGCCCUACGCGAGCUGCGCCUGGAGGGGAAUCGGCUGAGCCAACUGCCCGUGGAGCUGCUGGAGCCUCUGCACAGCCUGGAGGCGCUGGACCUUAGCGGGAACGCGCUGUCAGCUCUGCACCCCACUACCUUUGGCCACCUGGGCCGGCUGCGCGAGCUCAGCCUGCGCGACAACGCGCUCAGCGCUCUCUCCGGGGACAUCUUCGCUGCCAGCCCGGCCCUCUACCGGCUGGAUCUAGACGGCAAUGGCUGGACCUGUGACUGCCGUCUGCGGGGCCUGAAGCGCUGGAUGGGCGACUGGCACUCACAAGGCCGUCUUCUCACAGUCUUCGUGCAGUGUCGCCACCCCCCGGCCUUGCGGGGCAAGUACCUGGAUUACCUGGAUGACCAGCAGCUGCAGAACGGGUCUUGUGCGAGUCCCUCGUCCUCAGUUUCCCCGACCGCGGAAGGGCUUUGGAGGCCCUUGCCCACAGCCGCCGGGGAGGAGGUGGCGCCCCCUGCAGGUGGCCUCGCGGAGGAGCUGCCGCCGCAGCCGCAGCCGCAGCCGCAGCCACAGCAGCGCGGGCGAUUUCUGCCUGGGGUGGUCUGGGAUGGGGCAGCCAGGGAGCUUUUGGGCAACCGCAGCGCUCUGAGGCUGAGCCGACGGGGCCCGGGCCUCCAGCAGCCGGGCCCCUCCGCCGCUGCUGCCGCGGACCCGGCGCCACACCCUCUGGACCUGCUUCAGAAGCCCGAACGGGGACCUCCGACUCCUGCAGAUGCUGCCCAUGCGGAGCCCACCCCGACAGCCGCACCCGUCUCUGCGCCAUCGUCCGCUGGCGACCCCUGGCAGCGGGCGGCAAAGCAGCGUCUGGCAGCGCAGCAGCAGGAGAGCACCGCCCAGUCCGACGGCGGGGUCGGCCUGCCGCCGCUGGUGUCUGACCCGUGCGACUUCAACAAGUUCAUCCUGUGCAACCUGACGGUGGAGGCGGUGGGCGCCGACAGCGCCUCGGUGCGCUGGGCGGUGCGCCAGCACCGCAGCCCCCCGCCGCUGGGCGGCGCGCGCUUUCGUCUGCUCUUCGACCGCUUUGGCCAGCAGCCUAAGUUCCACCGCUUUGUCUACCUGCCAGAGCGCAGCGACUCGGCCACAUUGCGCGAGCUGCGCGGAGACACACCCUACCUGGUGUGCGUCGAGGGAGUCCUCGGGGGUCGGGUCUGCCCGGUGGCCCCCCGUGACCAUUGCGCUGGGCUGGUCACCCUGCCAGAGCCUGGGAGCCAGAGCAGCGUAGAUUACCAGCUGCUGACCUUGGUCUUGCUGGCAGUCAACGCACUGCUGGUGCUCCUGGCCUUGGCGGCCUGGGCGUCACGCUGGCUGCGGAGGAAGCUGCGGGCUAGGCGGAAGGGUGGGGCCCCUGUGCAUGUUAGACACAUGUAUUCCACCCGACGUCCCCUGCGCUCUAUGGGCACCGGGGUGUCCGCCGACUUCUCUGGAUUCCAGUCCCACCGUCCGCGCACCACCGUGUGUGCUCUCAGCGAGGCGGACCUCAUCGAGUUCCCCUGCGACCGCUUCAUGGACAGCGGCGGCGGCGGCACAGGUGGCAGCUUGAGACGGGAAGAUCAUCUUCUGCAGCGAUUUGCUGACUAGAUCCAGAGCCUCCGAGGUUGUGGAAACCUUCUCUUUGGCCUUGAGGAGCCACUUUCCAUGGAACCCCUCAACCCGCCUCAAGGAAUGUGAAGAUCUCUGCCAUGUAACAAACUGACAAUAAACUCAAGGACUGUUUUAGUUGAGCUGAGUGGUUCAACUAGUAUUUUCUUUUUAACAUUAACACCGCAAGAACAUUCGCUGACCUUGGGGUUAACUAAGGUGACCUACUUUCUCAGGAGAAGGCUGCGCGCAAGACUUCUCUGUCAGGGUUGCUCCUGUGGCUUUUUAAUUUUGUUUUUCUGAACCUGUAUAUGCAGAAGGAAAUUUCAGUGCCAGAACUUGAUAAAAGAAUGUUAACUAACGCGUGCGUAACCAAUGACCCCGCAGGGAAGGGCAGCCUUCUAGUCCACUUAACCGCAUCUCUGACAAUGUGUCCAGAUUGGAAUGAAUACGAUGUGGUACUUCUCGUGUUUUUAUCAGUGACACGCAGUUGAGGGUGCCCGCCUUCUCUGGGGUUGCGCAGUUAAGUGAUAAAGGUAAUUUCCUAAUAGCAAGGAAGCAAAAGGUGAUGGUCAGUUGAUAGUGUGACGUUCAAUCACAGCAAUGUCUUACUCUAUAUAAAAUAGAGAGGAAGAAAUUGUCGGGAAAAAUGUGAAAAAGUAUACAUCAGUGGUUGUCUGUUUCUACUAAAGCCAGAAGGUUGUUAGGAGUACUUAAACCUCACUGUGAAAUAAUUAUAUAUUUUGCGAGUUAAUCCCUCCACUACCCAGUGUUGUACCACGUUAUUAAAUCUUAUUGUUUAGUUACUAAUUGCAGUAUUUCUUUUAAAAUGUUGUUUUGCUUUAAAUUUAGGAUUAGGCUCCUUUAUUUGCUCCUCCGUCGUUUUCAACUACUUGGGACACUUUGGUCCCCUGAUAUUUAUGAAGUACAUGUUUAUCGCUAACCGUAGUGCUUUGGUUUACAUGAGCAGUUUUGUGUGUGGUCUAAAAAAGCGGUCCCAGAGAAGAUCUGCACGGUUAUACUGUCCAUGGUUAUGGAUUUAUUGGCAGUGGGGUGCCGUGGAGGCGACUACAAUGGUGCUAAGGCUAACAGCGAAUCUUCUACUUAGGGCCUUACGCCCCUGAUGGUCCUGAUGACUCAGGGAAUCUGUCCUAGACCGGGGGUCCUUCCCCAGGGCUCUCCUUUUAUGUUUGGUCCAUUGAGCCAAACCUGCCCUUGGCCCAGCAGCUGAGCAGGGACCCAGGCAUCUAAAUGAACUGAUCUGUGUUCAUGUUCAGAUGAGUGAAUGUCCAGACCACUUAAAGUACAGCUGCUUCUCUGAUAGUCGUAUCUGUGGGGCCCAAACUUGACCAACCACAGGAAAGAGGCUGUCAUUCUUACUCUGCUGCCGAGGCUUGUGACCGAUCCCGAGCCUAUUAGUACGCAGGAGAGGAGUCAUUCACUCUGUUUUGCAACCUCCGGGCUAUUUUGCACCCCUGGUGCCCCUAGUUUUGUUCAUUUGUACAGUGAUGGCAUCUUUUAGCUGUUCCUUUGCACAGCAGUGAAAUACUGAGCCCCACUGAAAGUCUGGAAAAGACCCCUGGACCUUCCCACCACCCACCCUUUCGUAGCAGAACAUCACUGAAAAUACUUCACGGAAAAACAGUAAAAGCUAUGUGAAAACAGUUCGACUGGAAAGUCUUUCGGUGGGAAAUGAAUAAAUGUUAUAUGUUGUUAUGUUCAGUUAUGUCAAUAAACCCACUUGCUAAUGGA